UCGUCUGGGGGCUUUUAAAUGCAUAAAUCGCGCACAAAAGCCACCGCCGAAGUUCAUCGGCGGCCGUCGCGCAACCACUUCAGGGACUUAACGCCCGGCAAGUGUUCCCUGCCCACAUGGGUUUCCCAAAAGAGAGUCAAAGGUUUUCCCAUUUUCCGGAAAUUUUUCCUAAGCUCACGCCAUGCUUUUCAUACGGCCAUGCACCACGUCCAGGUGUCUCGCGCUCCGCUCUCAAACACAUCACGGGAGGGCCCCCCCCCCUUGUUCCAGCAGUAAACUAUGCCGACUGGAUGGUGUGUGUUGCACUGUGCGCGAGAAAUCUGUGAGUGUGUGGGCUCUGGGGAUAGUAUGAUCGCAAGAGGGAAACUUAAAGAGAUGACGGAAGGACACCACCGGAGGAGAGAAGUGUGCGGCUUAAUUUGACUCAACGCGGGACAACUUACCAAUGCCGAGAUGUGUUUGAGAGCGGAGCGCGAGACACGUGGCGGUGGUGCAUGGCCGUUUGAAAUGGAUGGCGUGAGCUGAGGAUUAAUUUCCGGAAGAUGUGAGACCCUUUGACUGCGUUUGUGGAGAGCGAGGAGGGGAGGGAACACAACAGGUCCGUUAUGCCCUGAGAUGUGUUGGGCUGCACGCGCACUACGAUAUUCUGCGGUUGCGGAGAUGUGCGGGAUUGAUGCUUGUGAAUGUGUCAUGAACGUGGAAUUCCUAGUAAGGGCUGUUCAUUAGGCUGUCUUGAAUGGGUCCCUGUUCUUUGUACACACCGCCCGUAAACAUGGCGUCCGGCGCAAUUGAUACUAUCGCGAGGUGCCGCCUUACGCCUGGGAAACCCAAUGAAACCGUCCAGUCCUCUUCCAUUCUUUGGCGAA
rnacentral:rRNA from 1 species